rnacentral:tRNA from 1 species
GCCCGGGUGGCGGAACUGGUAGACGCAGGGGACUUAAAAUCCCCCGGCUUUUGCCGUGCCGGUUCGACUCCGGCCCCGGGCACCA